UGAAUAAUAGACGUGGCCUAAAAUCUGUGAAAAAUAUCCCGUUUUCUUCUUCUUCUUUCUUUUCUCUCUCAAAUUGAAAUCAGAAUUUUUGGGAUGAAUUGAGGGGGAAUGAGUUGGUGAUCCUUUGAAGAAAGAAGGAUGUUGGAGGAUCAGGUGGCUUACCUCUUGCAAAGGUACCUUGGCAACUACGUCAGGGGACUCAACAAGGAAGCGCUCAAGAUCAGUGUUUGGCAAGGAGAUGUGGAGCUAACUAAUAUGCAGUUGAAAUCGGAGGCACUUAAUGCAUUGAAAUUGCCUGUGAAGGUUAAGGCUGGAUUUCUUGGCUCUGUGAAACUUAAGGUACCUUGGAGUAGGCUUGGUCAGGACCCAGUUUUAGUUCAUCUAGAUUGUAUUUUUUUGUUAGUUGAACUUGCAACGCAAGUUCAAGGGUCCACUUAAGAUGCCAUUCAAGAAGCUAAGAAAAGCCGAGUGCGGGAAAUGGAAAUGAAGCUGGUAGAGAAGGCUCAACAAUUAAAGUCUGAAGUGAAUCAAUCAUGGUUGGGUUCCCUUAUCAACACUAUAGUUGGAAAUUUGAAACUCUCAAUUUCAAAUAUUCAUAUCAGAUACGAGGAUAGUGAAAG